rnacentral:rRNA from 1 species
GCAGUAGCCACGGUAAUACAGAGGGUGCGAGCGUUAAUCGGAUUUACUGGGCGUAAAGCGUGCGUAGGCGGCUUUUUAAGUCGGAUGUGAAAUCCCUGAGCUUAACUUAGGAAUUGCAUUCGAUACUGGGAAGCUAGAGUAUGGGAGAGGAUGGUAGAAUUCCAGGUGUAGCGGUGAAAUGCGUAGAGAUCUGGAGGAAUACCGAUGGCGAAGGCAGCCAUCUGGCCUAAUACUGACGCUGAGGUACGAAAGCAUGGGGAGCAAACAGGAUUAGAUACCCCUGUAGUCCCUGUCUCUUAUAA